UCUCUCCCAUGGCGGUGACUUAUCCUUUCCAUUCCCUUUCAAGAGCCGCCUACUCUGGCCAAUCCCCACUCCCCUGCCACAGCCACGGCCAUUGCCUCAUGAGAGCUUCCUCUCCCCUGCAGCCUCAGCCUCUGCCACUGUCAACACAGCCUGGAAGCUGUUCUGGUCUCUUUGGAAACACUUUUGUUCGUUAUAGUGUCCACAGCACUGUCCUCGCUGGCACCUGGAAACUAGGAGUCACUCUGAGUUUGGACCUUGAACCCUGUGUUCUGUAGCCCAUGCCCUUUAACCUUGACUUAGCUUUUGACCUCUACUUAUCUAUUAACCAGGCCUCUGUUUUCCACCAGUGAGUUCCAGUUCCCAUUACCACAAAGUGAAUAUUUACUGCAAAAAUAUUUGACAUUCUGGCUCCUGACAUUUCAUCUAUCCGGCUCUUAAACCUAAGAUUCUUGGAGCUUGUGCUUCCAUCGAAACAUGUAUUUUUUUUUAAUUUUUAGAAAAGAAAUUACUAUUAUUGAAAUUCUCUGUAAAACUUAACAUGACUUAAUGUCUACUCAAAAACUUUUGGCUAAGAGUCAGGUUUAUAUGACCAAGUCAUUCCUCUGUUAUUAGGAAGAACUGGUAUUAUGAAUUCCAAAAGGGUCCAAAUCCAGUGACACUCAAUUCUCUUAUAUAAAGUGGCACAGUAUUACAUGAAUCCUAGGCACAUCCUCUUGUAAACAUAUACAUCUCUCUUUACAUCUGCAUAUCCAGUGCAGGGGUCAGUGCUGUGUAAGCAGUUGUUACAUUGUAUUUAGAGAAUAAGAACAAAGAAAAGUAUCUGUACAUGUUAGUUAUCUUGUUGUUAAUCUUUUUGAUGCAUAACCGGUGGACUGAGGACCACAAUGAUACAGAAGGCCACUACAUCUGACAUCUAUGUUUCCCUUUCCUUAGAGCCCUUUUGUGUUUUCUCUGAUAUCGACAUCAUGCACAUCUUUUCUUCCUCAUUGGGUGAAAUUAAGGAAUCCUAGGUGAUUCGUUGCCUUUCUGUUUCCCAAGUUUCCAUUCAGGCACCAGAGGAUUUGCCGUGUUGCACUAUGUCUAAGAGCUACCAGAGGACUCGCACAUCCCAGACCUCACACUGGAAGUUCUGGUUCUGCACAUCUGAGACAAGGCCCGUCCACAAGCAUUCUGUCAAUUCCCCAUGUACUCAGAGCACACACUGGGAAACAGUAACUUGGUGAGAAAUAACAAAAAAAGAAGGUGUUCAGGAGAAUACCAGCAAACAGCUGAGCCUGCUGAACGGACACUGGAGGCUGAACAGCUACUCUGAGGGAACAUCAGAAACCAGGACAUAGAAAGGCAGACAACAGCCUGAGUCACGGCAGACGGGAUGCUCCUUGCUACACACCACAGUCUGUCCAGCCAGUCAGCACGCUGAGGCCAUGUAACCAAAUGGCCGGUCAAAUGCUGCCCACAGGUUAGCUGUCACUGAACAAAGAGAACGGUUGUAAUCUUCCAUCAGCACACAGGCUGGUGUCUGGGAUUCUCAGGGAUCAUUGUCGAACAGUCCUCUCUGCAUUCCUUUCUUUCCACACCACUGAAACAGCAGUGGGCAAAUGUACCAGGACAUCCUACUUGCCAAAUCCCAGGGAUUUCUGAAAGUUCUGAUCUUACUUAGUAUUGGUUUCGCUUUAGUGCUGUGGUCACAUCUGACCAAUCUGUCUUCUUCCUUCCGUGAGAGCACCCUAUGUCGGUUCCUGGGGAAAUUCUGGCAGCGUCUGGGAUAGUCAAUCUGUUUUAUCUACCUGUACAUUUUAAAGCGCAGAUGCUCCCGGCA